UGGGGAAUUUUGGACAAUGGGGGAAACCCUGAUCCAGCCAUCCCGCGUGUGCGAUGAAGGCCUUCGGGUUGUAAAGCACUUUUGGCAGGAAAGAAACGUCAUGGGUUAAUACCCCGUGAAACUGACGGUACCUGCAGAAUAAGCACCGGCUAACUACGUGCCAGCAGCCGCGGUAAUACGAAGGGUGCAAGCGUUAAUCGGAAUUACUGGGCGUAAAGCGUGCGCAGGCGGUUCGGAAAGAAAGAUGUGAAAUCCCAGAGCUCAACUUUGGAACUGCAUUUUUAACUGCCGGGCUAGAGUGGGUGAGAGGGAGGUGGAAUUCCGAGUGUAGCAGUGAAAUGCGUAGAUAUGCGGAGGAACACCGAUGGCGAAGGCAGCCUCCUGGGAUAACACUGACGCUCAUGCACGAAAGCGUGGGGAGCAAACAGG
rnacentral:rRNA from 1 species